rnacentral:rRNA from 1 species
CCUACGGGGGGCUGCAGUGGGGAAUAUUGGACAAUGGGGCAACCCUGAUCCAGCCAUGCCGCGUGUGUGAAGAAGGCCCUCGGGUUGUAAAGCACUUUCAGUGAGGAAGAACGCCUGGUGGUUAAUACCCAUCAGGAAAGACAUCACUCACAGAAGAAGCACCGGCUAACUCCGUGCCAGCAGCCGCGGUAAUACGGAGGGUGCGAGCGUUAAUCGGAUUUACUGGGCGUAAAGCGCGCGUAGGUGGCUUGAUAAGCCGGUUGUGAAAGCCCCGGGCUCAACCUGGGAACGGCAUCCGGAACUGUCAAGCUAGAGUGCAGGAGAGGAAGGUAGAAUUCCCGGUGUAGCGGUGAAAUGCGUAGAGAUCGGGAGGAAUACCAGUGGCGAAGGCGGCCUUCUGGACUGACACUGACACUGAGGUGCGAAAGCGUGGGUAGCAAACAGGAUUAGAUACCCCAGUAGUC